rnacentral:piRNA from 1 species
UUAAAUGAUGACAGUUUUUGCAGCCUCCCUU